UUGCGGUUGCCGGCUUAGCUGAAAUGGACGACAAACGGGACGGCCUGGCGAUUUAUAUUUUCUCUUCAUCUCUACUCUGACCUGGACCAAUUCCUGGACCAUUUAUAGGCUACUACAUAUUCUGCAGUACGCCGAAGCAGAGGAAAUGGCAGCGGGUAGGAUUGAGAGUCGCAGCAUGCAAUACUGGGGAACCAGAAGGAGUCCCAAUGGAACCGCUUCACAUGCUGAUGUACAAGGAACUUGCGCUGGGCUUCUAGUAGUUUUCUUUGCCCCAGGCCAUGGAGGAGUACCGGGAGGACUUCGCCUUUGAGGAAAGCAUUGAAAAUGAAGCUGUGUGCCAAAUAAGAAAGCAGAUUUAUAAGAAAAGAACAGUCAAAGUCAUCAAGCACUUAAGCCUGCUUCAACAAGAUUUCUGCACAAGACUUGCUCUCAGGGCAGUGAGAACAGAGGAUAGCAGGCACCACUGUAACUAGUCAGCUAUCUUGCCCAACUGGAAAGAAGGCUAUUAUUUAGUUUUAAAAAAAGUGUUGAUAAGAUAACACAUUUGACAUAUGUAGGCAUGUCAGCUGAUUUUUAGGUAAAAUGACCUGACCACUUUCUGGUAAUGUUGAUGGUAUAUUGUAUAUACAAUACACAUGUACUGUUUACCUAGCAUACCACAAAUGAUGUGUAAUUUGUAUAAAAGGUAUUCUUGUAUACUUUGAUAAUUAACCUACUUGAAUUGUACAUUAACCUUUCUGAAGGCAAACCUUUCUGAAGGCAAACCUUUCUGAAGGCCUGUGUUAUCUUCUAUGACUAAAUAUAAA